rnacentral:lncRNA from 1 species
ACAUAACAGGUAUAUUACAGUAAUCACAUUUGAUACACACACAUUGGAGAUAGAGCGGAAGACUUUUACAAAGUACACUUUACAUUCCAGAACUCAAGUUUUACAUGGUAGAAAGAGAUGUAUUUAUUACAAGUCCUGAUAGUACUCGAAGUGCAUAACUUAUUACAAUAAUUGGAAGGGUGAAGCCUUUCCAUAAAAGAUAUAUAAAAACCUUCUAAGCUUCAAGUCCUCCACAUGAAGUAACUAACCUAAAGAUAAGGGAAUAAAACUUUUCCUACAAAAACAAUAAGGGAUAAAACCCUGAGUACGCAAUUACUCAGCGAGACUUACCCGACUAAAGAAAAGACUCUCAAGGGUAUGCUGGCUUUUGGGAAUCAAGGUAAAGCUCAUCAAAGUUCAAGGACUCAUUUUGCAGAAAAGCUUACUAGAAGUGGGUCCUUAAGCCAAGUUUUAUUUCACAAGUUAGUUUAUUACCUGAAUCUUCUAGCCUGAAUCUAGCAUUUUCCUAAUCUAGAUCAUUCACUUGACCUACACUAGAUUGCUUUUAAAAUCCAAAUUUUGUUUCGCUUGUUAUCUACGAUGAAGGGCAGCGAUCCAGUCUUCAUAUCCGAGAAGUAACGGCGAUCCGAAUCGAUUAAUACCCAGCUGGGGAUCUCCAACCACACGACAUAUGUAGCACUUAACCCUUGCAUAUGUCAACCAUUCCCACGGAUCCUCCACUACAUGAACCGGUCCGCGCUACCUGGGAGCACAUUACCCUACCAUUCAGCUUCUUGCCAGGAGGGUAACUGCUACUCCCACCAUCUCCCACGCCCAGUGCGCGGUUGUCUUUUCACGUAGGGAAUAGCCGGGUUCAGGCUUGCCCAUGAUGAGGUAUGUGGCCAGUUAAAAGGUCCUAGAUCAUCAGGCCAACAAUCGGUACGGUCCUUAAUCGACACAGACGGGCGACCUUUCCUGCUCAACGUCUGGUCCCAUUUUAAACUAUUUCAAAAAUUUGGUGCCUGACAGAGGGGCCAUGCCUGGAUAAUGAAUUUAUCAACGUCUUGAUGCCUCCAUUAUCCCAAGCCCAUUUUCUUUUUUGUAAAAACAUGAGUCAUAGAUCAAAAACAUUUUUCUUAGUCUAUUCGCAUGACUAAGCAUCUCUAGCUUUUAUAAAACAGGUGGCAAGGUAUGGUAAUCAAGCUUUCAAGGAUGGUAAUGCAUCAAGAGUUUAACCAAUCAACUCCUAUCACCUAAUGUAGCAUAUAAGUGAUAAAAUUUUGUAAACACAAGGAUGGUGGCAAAUGCACCGGGGCUUGCCUUGUUGCAGGAGAAGAUCCCAAAAUCCUUCUACCCAACCUUUAGUUAGAUAGAUCCAUCCACUUGAUAAGCAGGCAUUGGAGUAGACUCCUUCAAACACCACUUCUUCUAGGUGUUCUACAAGUCAAUUACAAAUACAUGUAUGCUUAUGUUAUGAUAUGAAAUGCAAACUCUCACAAAGGAGAGGUGGGGAACAUAAACAUCUCUAACUAAGCACAUGACAAGCUUACCUAUACUUAUACUUUACUUAACAUUUGAUCUGAAGGCUUAAACUUAAUUUAGUUGGACAAACCAGAGAACUAAACAUACUAAGGCUCACUAAAUUUGCUACCUAACACUUUAUAGGGUCUAACUCCGUUACAACAUAUAUUAACACUACUUGUGUGGUUUUUUUAUAUUUCUUCUUUUAGCUAUUUCAAGGAUCUCUAGGCAAACCAGCUCCAAAUACAUUAAAACUUUUACCCAGCACUAUUUUAGACAUAAUAAACCUAUUUACAAAGUUUCAGCAUUUUUGGAGCUAUAUUUUUUUAUUCCUAUAACUAAAAUAAGCGUUAGUAAGUUAACUUUAAUUAAGGCCUAAACAUAAAAGUUGUUGUUCAAGCCUAAUGAAUAUUUUUAUCAGAUAGUACUCAUCUUGGUGAACUCAACAAAUUUGGUUUACAUAUUUAGCAUUUUUCUGUAAUUUUCUAUGUCAUUUUCUAGGUCUCAGCUAUAAUCUGAAAUUGGAAAAUAAAAUACAAAACCUCCGGCCAACUCCCACCUGGCACACAAGCGAAGACGGCAGGGAGGCGACAACACGUGCGCCUAUGCAGCAGAGCGACGAUGUGAUGCCUCGAAUCCAUGACGAGGUCAUGGCAGCACUUGGAGUCGGGGUUGGUGCGAGGAGCGUGACCAGCUGGAGCCGAGCGUGAUGGAGAGACCGGAGCAGGAGGGCGAGCGCCACGGCCAGGUCGCUGGUGAACUGGCCGAGCUCGGCCUAGGAUGCAAUGGCCCGAGGCCAAGGCGAGACUGACCGGUGCUGGGGAAUCCAAUCAGGAAGAAAACACGUGCCAGAAUGCGUCGUCGACGUGUGCCUGGGAGCCGGUGCAGAGCGCGAGCGCGUGGGGGAUCGAUGUUGGGGAAUGAGGCGAGCAGAGAGGAGACAUGGGGAGGAUUCUAGAGACAACGAGUGUGUUGAGACUUGAGAGGGCCCUGGGCGUCCGCGUGAGGGAGCCUGGCUGGGUAGAAUAAGGAGCCCGACGUGUGAGAGCAUUCCAUAGAAACAUAUGUGCUUAUCACAAUGGAAUGGACUCGAUGGUGCCAGCUCAAAGUGAAUACGGAUACGUGGCCACAACGGAAUGACGCACAGAUAGACUGGCUUCUGUUAAGCGGCAAAACCCAGGACUAGUAGCGUCCACACAGGAGGCAAAUAGGUGGACAGCAGCAUGCGUGCCCAACCAUCGAUCAGAGAAUUGAAACUAAGUUCCCAGCCGGCAUGACAACCCAAUUUCAAACGAACU